UACGUAGGUGGCGAGCGUUGUCCGGAUUUAUUGGGUUUAAAGGGUGCGUAGGCGGCUUUGUAAGUCAGUGGUGAAAUACUCUAGCUUAACUAGAGGGGUGCCAUUGAUACUGCGGAGCUUGAGUACAGAUGAGGUAGGCGGAAUUGACGGUGUAGCGGUGAAAUGCAUAGAUAUCGUCAAGAACACCGAUAGCGAAGGCAGCUUACUGGGCUGUAACUGACGCUGAUGCACGAAAGUGUGGGGAUCAAACAGG
rnacentral:rRNA from 1 species